UUAAACUACAACCAUAGAAUAAGACGGAAUGAAUUUUUUUAAAAUUUCUAAGUUACUUUUAAUAUGUUUUAUCGUAGUUGCCCUGUUUGGAGAUCCAGCGGUGGCAGGCAAAAGUAAAAAACAUAAACCUAAACCCAAACCCAAACCGAAACCCCAAUUGAGACCGAACGUUAACAUCAGAACACACAUAAAUAUCAAAGUGGGCUAAAUUAAAGGCUUAAUUUAAGAAAUAUUUUAAAUAAAAAUUAAAUAAAUUAAAAACCA